UGGGGAAUAUUGCACAAUGGGCGCAAGCCUGAUGCAGCAAUGCCGCGUGAGUGAUGAAGGCCUUAGGGUCGUAAAGCUCUUUCGCCUGUGAAGAUAAUGACGGUAGCAGGUAAAGAAACCCCGGCUAACUCCGUGCCAGCAGCCGCGGUAAUACGGAGGGGGUUAGCGUUGUUCGGAAUUACUGGGCGUAAAGCGCACGUAGGCGGACCAGAAAGUUGGGGGUGAAAUCCCGGGGGCUCAACCCCGGAACUGCCUCCAAAACUAUUGGUCUAGAGUUCGAGAGAGGUGAGUGGAAUUCCAAGUGUAGAGGUGAAAUUCGUAGAUAUUUGGAGGAACACCAGUGGCGAAGGCGGCUCACUGGCUCGAUACUGACGCUGAGGUGCGAAAGUGUGGGGAGCAAACAGGAUUAGAUACCCUGGGUAGUCCACACCGUAAAACGAUGAAUGCCAGUCGUCGGGUAGCAUGCUAUUCGGUGACACACCUAACGGAUUAAGCAUUCCG
rnacentral:rRNA from 1 species